CAAAGUGCUGAUAGUGCAGGUAG
rnacentral:ncRNA from 2 species